rnacentral:rRNA from 1 species
GACGAACGCUGGCGGCGUGCUUAACACAUGCAAGUCGAACGGAAAGGCCCUGCUUGCAGGGUACUCGAGUGACGAACGGGUGAGUAACACGUGGGUGAUCUGCCCUGCACUUCGGGAUAAGCCUGGGAAACUGGGUCUAAUACCGGAUAGGAGCCAUUUUUAGUGUGAUGGUUGGGAAGUUUUUUCGGUGUAGGAUGAGCUCGCGGCCUAUCAGCUUGUUGGUGGGGUAAUGGCCUACCAAGGCGGCGACGGGUAGCCGGCCUGAGAGGGUGGACGGCCACAGUGGGACUGAGAUACGGCCCAGACUCCUACGGGAGGCAGCAGUGGGGAAUAUUGCACAAUGGGCGCAAGCCUGAUGCAGCGACGCCGCGUGGGGGAUGACGGCCUUCGGGUUGUAAACUCCUUUCGCUAGGGACGAAGCUUUUUGUGACGGUACCUAGAUAAGAAGCACCGGCUAACUACGUG